rnacentral:tRNA from 1 species
GGCCUAUCAGCUCAGUUGGUUAGAGCGUCGUGCUAAUAACGCGAAGGUCGGAGGUUCAAGACCUGCAUAGGCCA